GCCCCGAAACACAAUAUCAACACAGCGGUCCGUAGCCGAAGAAAUUAUCAGGAAAAAUCGGCUGACAUCAAGCACGCGUUUCUUUAAAACAACUAUGAACUGUGAAGGUCGUAGGUAAACGACGCUCCAGUGGGUUGAGGUUUCUCUUGAAUUUGGCUGAGAUGAAACGUGUCUGUGCUUGAACUCGGAGCCACCGCUUUGCGAUUGUGCAAUAAAACAGACAGCUGGUUUCACGCGAAAACUGCUGUUCGCGUCGCAGGCUUGCAAAAAUUACAAUUUUCACUCGGAGCCCUAGUCAAAUUUUGUGAUUAACUGAAGAGAAGGGGACAUGGGACAGGGCGAGAGGGGGGGGGGGGGGCGAUGGGCAUGUAUGUGGUAUGAAUGUGUGCAAGCGAUUUAUGGAUCUUUGAUUCGCCCCGACUUGAACUCGUUGCACCAACGGAUCGGAGUCGCUAAUGCUAACUGAUGCUAAUGCUUAAAGGCGGUUUGUCAAAAUAUGCUCAGUACUACACCACCUGACUUCCUGUAACAUGGUACGAAGUGUACUCGCACAGUACGAAGUGUACUCGCACAGUACAAAGUACAAAGCACUGCACGAAAUUUGCGAAACAUGCUUGCACUGUGCGAAGUGUGCGAAAAGUGUGGAGUGUGCUCGCACUGUGCGAAGUGUGCGAAAAGUCCGGACUGUGCUCACACUGUGCGAAAAGUGCGCGCACUGAGCGGAGUGUGCGAAAAGUGCCCGCACUGUGCGAAGUGUGCGAAAAGUGCGAAGUGCGCGCACUGUGCGAAAAGUGCGAAGUGCGCGCACUGUGCGAAGUGUGCUCGCACAGUACAAAGUGUGCUGUGCAGUGUGCACAAUGAGGUGUGCUGUGCGCACAGUGCGCACUCGCGCACAAUGCCCAACACUAGUUGUGAUCGUUCGAAACUCAUUGCCAGAACGAAUGCAAAUUUCAUUUGGGAAGGAUCGGUGCCGGAAGAUGCAGUGAAAAUUAUAAAAUGUUUAUAGAAAAAUGGUUAAGUAAAUCGUGAAAGAUGUAAACGCAGGCGUAACUGCAGUUUGUUUUGUUACAUGAUCUACGGCUAUUUCAUUACCAAAGCACCUGAUAACCGAUCAAAGAAGGUGAAUCGGGCUUACAGAGUCGCCGUUUAACUUCAAAUAUCUUCGUGAUCGGAAAACUAAUCAAACAGCAAGUGUUUUUCUUCCAACAGCACGCGCCAUCGGUGGAGCAAGCAGCCAACGUUUUGAUCGCCAGUACGCGCCAUCAAGAAUUGAAAUAUUCCAGAAUAGCUCUGUGAAUAAAAAACUGCACAUUUACUGUCCGAA